rnacentral:rRNA from 1 species
UCUGAACCUUCGGGGAACGAUAACGGCGUCGAGCGGCGGACGGGUGAGUAAUGCCUAGGAAAUUGCCCUGAUGUGGGGGAUAACCAUUGGAAACGAUGGCUAAUACCGCAUGAUGCCUACGGGCCAAAGAGGGGGACCUUCGGGCCUCUCGCGUCAGGAUAUGCCUAGGUGGGAUUAGCUAGUUGGUGAGGUAAGGGCUCACCAAGGCGACGAUCCCUAGCUGGUCUGAGAGGAUGAUCAGCCACACUGGAACUGAGACACGGUCCAGACUCCUACGGGAGGCAGCAGUGGGGAAUAUUGCACAAUGGGCGCAAGCCUGAUGCAGCCAUGCCGCGUGUGUGAAGAAGGCCUUCGGGUUGUAAAGCACUUUCAGUCGUGAGGAAGGUAGUGUAGUUAAUAGCUGCAUUAUUUGACGUUAGCGACAGAAGAAGCACCGGCUAACUCCGUGCCAGCAGCCGCGGUAAUACGGAGGGUGCGAGCGUUAAUCGGAAUUACUGGGCGUAAAGCGCAUGCAGGUGGUUUGUUAAGUCAGAUGUGAAAGCCCGGGGCUCAACCUCGGAAUAGCAUUUGAAACUGGCAGACUAGAGUACUGUAGAGGGGGGUAGAAUUUCAGGU